rnacentral:rRNA from 1 species
AUGAACGCUGGCGGCGUGCCUAAUCCCUGCAAGUCGAGCGCACGGACGAGAAGCUUGCUUCUCUGAUGUUAGCGGCGGACGGGUGAGUAACACGUGGAUAACCUACCUAUAAGACUGGGAUAACUUCGGGAAACCGGAGCUAAUACCGGAUAAUAUUUUGAACCGCAUGGUUCAAAAGUGAAAGACGGUCUUGCUGUCACUUAUAGAUGGAUCCGCGCUGCAUUAGCUAGUUGGUAAGGUAACGGCUUACCAAGGCAACGAUGCAUAGCCGACCUGAGAGGGUGAUCGGCCACACUGGAACUGAGACACGGUCCAGACUCCUACGGGAGGCAGCAGUAGGGAAUCUUCCGCAAUGGGCGAAAGCCUGACGGAGCAACGCCGCGUGAGUGAUGAAGGUCUUCGGAUCGUAAAACUCUGUUAUUAGGGAUGAACAUAUGUGUAAGUAACUGUGCACAUCUUGACGGUACCUAAUCAGAAAGCCACGGCUAACUACGUG